rnacentral:lncRNA from 1 species
UGUUACAAUAAUAAAGAAAUUAUUUGUCAUAUAAAUGUAAAAGAAUUUUAUUUGUCAUUAUUGAUAAAUAAGUAGAAGAGUUUUUUAUAUAAAUUAACUACUAUCUUAACACAAUCCAGGAAUGAAAAUUAUUUACAUAAUGUACUGGCAAGACUAUGGUGGCUAGAGGUGUGCUACUUCUUGCACUGCCAUUUUGAUUAUUUUCAUUUCAUAGCAGAUGAUGGAGUUUCUGCUAGGAAAUCAGAAAAAUUAUACUAUUUACUGUCCUUAUAUAGCUACAUAAAUGAUUUGAAAUGCCUGUUUAUGAAUAAAAUUGAAGAGGGGCCCUAGGAUCUUUAACUUAAUAAGAAACGAUAAAGAGCACAUCCCGAUGCAUAGAAGAUCAGGAGUAUAUUCUAUUCCCCUAUACAAUAAUGAUGAACAAGUGGAGCAGUGUUACGUUGGUAGCACGACUAGGACCUUAGAAAAAAGAAUACGUGAGCAUAAGGCAGAUAUUGCAGCAGGUAGAUUGACCACUGCCCUAUUGACCACAGCAUAUGAACAGGAUGUCACAAUAGACUGGCCGGGUGCUGGCAUAAUAAGAUGUGUUACUGGC